CCUACGGGAGGCAGCAGUGAGGAAUAUUGGUCAAUGGGCGGAAGCCUGAACCAGCCAAGUAGCGUGAAGGAUGACGGCCCUACGAGUUGUAACCUGCUUUUAUACGGGAAUAACGCGCCUUACGUGUAGGGCUUUGCAUGUACCGUAUGAAUAAGGACCGGCUAAUUCCGUGCCAGCAGCCGCGGUAAUACGGAAGGUCCGGGCGUUAUCCGGAUUUAUUGGGUUUAAAGGGAGCGUAGGCCGCAUGUCAAGCGUGCUGUGAAAUGUCCGGGCUCAACCCGGGCCUUGCAGCGCGAACUGGCGUGCUUGAGUGCGCGGAAGGCAGGCGGAAUUCGUGGUGUAGCGGUGAAAUGCUUAGAUAUGACGAAGAACCCCGAUUGCGAAGGCAGCUUGCUGCAGCGGAACUGACGCUGAUGCUCGAAAGCGCGGGUAUCGAACAGGAUUAGAUACCCGUGUAGUC
rnacentral:rRNA from 1 species